GGAAGCGCUAGAAGGUUUAGAUUUUGAAACAGCAAAGAAGGCCUUCAUCAGAGUACAAGACCUCCGAUAUUUAGAGCUCAUCAGCAGCAUUGAGGAGAGGAAGAAGCGGGGAGAGACCAACAAUGACCUGUUUCUGGCAGAUGUGUUUUCCUACCAGGGGAAGUUCCAUGAGGCCGCCAAACUGUACAAGAGGAGUGGGCACGAGAACCUCGCGCUUGAAAUGUACACCGACCUCUGCAUGUUUGAGUAUGCCAAGG
rnacentral:lncRNA from 1 species